UGGGGAAUAUUGGACAAUGGGCGCAAGCCUGAUCCAGCCAUGCCGCGUGAGUGAUGAAGGCCCUAGGGUUGUAAAGCUCUUUCACCGGUGAAGAUAAUGACGGUAACCGGAGAAGAAGCCCCGGCUAACUUCGUGCCAGCAGCCGCGGUAAUACGAAGGGGGCUAGCGUUGUUCGGAUUUACUGGGCGUAAAGCGCACGUUGGCGGACUUUUAAGUCAGGGGUGAAAUCCCGGGGCUCAACCCCGGAACUGCCUUUGAUACUGGAAGUCUUGAGUAUGGUAGAGGUGAGGGGAAUUCCGAGUGUAGAGGUGAAAUUCGUAGAUAUUCGGAGGAACACCAGUGGCGAAGGCGGCUCACUGGACCAUUACUGACGCUGAGGUGCGAAAGCGUGGGGAGCAAACAGG
rnacentral:rRNA from 1 species